AAAUCAUUUUAUGAUUAACCCUAGACAUCCUGUUGAAAUUAAUCCAACUCGAGUUGCUUUGGAGAUUCACCAAGAUUUUAUUUUUGAAAUAUAGGAGUAUCUCCGUUUCUUCAGAAUUUCCUGCGGGAAUUCUUCCAAGAUUACUUUUUGAAAUCUCUCCAGAACAUUUUUCUGAUAUUUUUCCGGGGGUUCACUCUGGGGUUCCUCCAAAAUUUAUUUCUGGGAUUCCUUCAACAUUUUUUCUAGAAUUUCAUCAGAAGUUCUUUCUUGGAUUCUUUAAAGAGUUUCUUACGAUAUUUUUCACUGGAAUGUCCUUCAUCCAAAAAAUUCUUAUAAGGAUUCCUACAGGAAUUUGUUUUGGUAUUUAUGCGCAGUAGACUUCUACACCUACUGGAACUUUCAUGAGGAAUACUUCCAAGAGGAUUCUAUCUUUCAUCUUUGUUAUUUCCCCAUGAUUAGCAGGUGAACCAGCCUUGGGCUGACAAUCUCGUUAAAAAAGAAAAUAUAAUAAUCAUUCUCCCCGACUUCUUACUGCGUUUCCUAGGAAUAUCCCAGUAGUUUAGUCUAGUAAUCCUCCAGGAAUUCUUUCCUCAAACCCUCCAGAAAUUUCUUCAGGGAGUCCUCCUGAUGUUCUGUGUAGAAAUCUCCGGGGAGUUAUUCCUGAGAAUCCUCCAGAAUUUCCCAGUGGGAAACCUUGAGAAAUUCCUUCUAGGAAUCCAGUAUAAGUUCAGAAUUGAUGGGAUUUCUUUAGGAUUUUUUGGGAAUCCUUGGAUUCUUCUGGGCACCCUUCUGUAGUUGCUGGAGAAAUCCCCAGAUCGUUUGUCAAGUUCCUAGACUCCUCUAAACACUCAAAUUAAUUUACUGAUAGAAUCUAAGUGCAAAAAGCACAUAGAUCGCGAACGGAAGGGAAAAAAAUCAUUCUAAGUGCAACAAAUAAAAAUGAAAAGUUACUUCAUUAAAAUUUAAUUUAUCUGUAUUAAAUUUAGAGUGUAGCAACAUAAAAAGCAACCCUGUCAACAUAAAAUCCAAACACGAUCAUAACAAACGUGAAAAGGACAUGGCGCGUGCACGAGACGCACAGUUCGCCGCAGAAUAUUGCAGAAUUUCAUUUUUAAUCAUGGUGCUCUAAGAAAUUAAUUUGCUGACCAAGUUGCUGAAGAUUCAUCUGCGUCUCGACCGCUUCAGCACCGUCACCAAAGAUGAACGAUUUUGUUGGGAGCUGCCGGCAGUGUUGCGAAACUCAUGCUCACGAGUAAAAAAUACUCACUCACCUUACUCAUUUGCGAGUAAUGCUCACGCUGUGAGUUACUCGCGUAUGAGUAUACUCACGCGUGAGUAAUGACGUCAUACUCUCGCGUGAGUAUUACUCACUUGUGAGUAAUACUCACGCGAGAGUAUGACGUCAUUACUCACGCGUGAGUUACUCAUUUUACUCACGGUGAGUUUAGUGAGUAAGUUAUUUUUGUUGGUUUGAAAUGAUGUUUUCGUUUGUUCUGUACUGCAAUGGUGAUUAUAUACAAGGCACAGUUUUCGAGGAAAGGUGGAUCUGCUCGAGAGCUUUGGCACCAUAGGCUAAAAACUCUUAUUGUUUACCUACGCAUGCAAAGUAAUAUCAUCAAUUAGGAAAUCUCUAUAUUUCACCACACUUUAUUAAUGGUUUAACUUUUUUCGCAUACGUCGGGUCACUUUCUUCUUCUUCUUCUUCUUUAUGGCUCGACGUCCCCACUGGGACUUGGCCUGCCUCGCCUCAACUUAGUGUUCUUUAAGCACUUCCACAGUUAUUAAUUGAAGGGCUUUCUUUGCCUGCCGUUGCAUGAAUUUGUAUAUUGUGAGGCAAUUACAAUGAUACACUAUGCCCAGGGAGUCGAGAAAAUUUUCCCGACCGGAACGGGAAUCGAACCCGCCGUCUCCGGAUUGGCGAUCCAUAGCCUUAACCACUAGGCUAACAGGAGACCCGCAAUCACGCAAUCGGGUCACUUUACGGUAUUCAAAAGGUGUGUGGCUUAUAUUUACCUACCUUCAAAUUAAACAUGGUAGGGUCAAUUACAGCAUCUCCUAGGUCCAAACAUUUAAAACUUUUCUUUUCUGCAUACAUUUGAUCGUUUUUUCCCAUAUGGCUAGUUUCUAUUACUGUGCAAAAAGAUAGGGCAUAUAAUGGACAAAUAGUGGUUUCGCUUCAAAAUUACUUGAGUAGGCAAGUAAGGAAAAAAAGUUUUACACUGGUAACGCCUCCCUUGUAAUUCUAAAAGAGCUGUAGUUUUUUCUGCGCGGAAAAAUAGUCCGUUCUAUUAUUCCGUAAGGAAAAGUAACGUUUUUCCUCAUACUAAAUACUUGAUCAGUUUGUAAUUUAAAAUUUACAAAAAAUAGUAAAUUUACUUGAGUACUCAACUUUCGAACAUGAAACUUACACACUAAACGCAUCCAGCAAAGCAAAAACCAGCAAAACGAAUAGUUGAUUUUUAAGCAAUUUUUUGCUAGAAUCCGGUACAACUUUGUGCCCUAUCAGCACAAAUUGCUGGAUGUUUCAUAAAAAAGUUUUUAGACUUGAUAGAAUUGAAACAAAACUUUUGGAACUUAUGGGUGACAAAAGGAACAAAUUGCCGGGCCCGUAGCGUAGUGGCUACACGUUCACUUCAUAAGUGGAUGGUCAUGGGUUCGAUCCCAGCCCGGCACUUGCAAUUUUUCGUCAGUUGCUCUUCCCCCCGAGAGCAGCUGGCACCUGACCCUCUUCAGAGCAUAUGCUCCAACGGACCCGGACACCUGGAUAUCGGCUAACGGCAACUCAUAAUGGACCCCCAAUCGGACUGGAAAAGGAACAAGAGCCACACAUCAACAUCCUCGUGCUCAUCAUUCUACCACGAUAGUGUAGAAAGUGAAAGCAGCGCAACGGAAUCCAGUUCGAUCUAGUGGAAUUAUAAUAGAAUACAUUUAGGAGCUGUACAAAGUGUAAGUACAGCUUCCAAUUGGAAUCGCUCACGCAGUGCCCUAGUGGACAAAAGAGCUGUAAAUUAGGUAAAGUGAUUGAAGAAUAAAAAAAGGAACAAAUUCUGAAGGAAUCCCAUGAGCUUUUUCAAGUCUUAGUUGUUUUUCAUAUAAAGUUGGACCACCCUAAUUAUAUGAGCCUCGGACCUAAAAAGGAAAAAAAAACUGCCGAGCAAAUUACUACCAGUAACAUGGCCAGUAAUCACACCCAGGUAACCAAUAAGCAGCUGGCAUUAAUUCAGCACUAUAUGCGCCUUUGCAGCAGGUCUGCUGCUAUCGAACUGUCAAAUCCAAGGUCAAAUCGGCUACCAAUCGAGCACACCACACGAUUCCGUAAAAUUACUUUUUCUUAAUUGCCUAUCUCUGCCAACCCCCUGAAGAAAGCGUUAGUUCUUGAAGCCGGCUCGAACGGGCUCGUUUACGAAAUUUCAGCCUGCCUUUCAAUCUGCUACGUGCGCAAGCGAACUUUGUCGUACGAUUUAUCGUGCAUUUGAGAAACGAUCGUUUACACAUUUGUUCAAUGCGUUUAGUGUUCUUUAUUAAAUUUACAAGACGCACAAGCAUGCAAAUAAAUUUCGUCCAUUUAAAACAACGCUGAACUCAAUUAUAUGUGAAUGUCACGCCUGCACUAAGAGAAAAAAAUCACUGUUUUCAGCUUAGCCCAUUCAAAUCAGCACCACGUCCUGCACCAAAUUUUUAGCUUCACGCCAGUUAUAUGUGGAUGACAGCCAUUUCAGGGGAUUGAUCUCUGUCUACAAGAGGUUUGAGUUCAAACAAAAGCCCUCACGUUGAGCUGUUGGGCUCAAAGGGGACCUCUUCAGGACCGCCCUUAACGGAGCGCUUAGAACUACCAGUAAGAUACAAUUCACUAGAAUGAAAAAAAAAACAAUAGAAUUAUUGACAAGCAACCUUGUCUACUGAUUCAAUACAUUCGCCCCAAUAAAACAUACCAUUUUAAUGUUUGAUAGGAUUCCAAGCCUUUUGAUAAAUUUUAGAUUACCGUAUGAAUAUGAGUAAAACAUACCCGUGAGUGAGUAUCUGCACGUCAAUACGAGUGAGUGUGAGUUGUACAGCGCUUACUCAAAUGUGAGUAAUACUCACGGUGAGUUUAAGGUGUACUGCUCAUACUCACUCGUGAGUUUGACAAGUUGUGUGAGUACUCGCUCAUUUCGCAACACUGGCUGCCGGAUGGAGCUGCGACCGGGACGAGCUGUUUGACCAGCUUGGUGGAAGCUCAAUGUGAGGUAAUUUAGAUAACCUGCUAUUUGUUUUUAAUCAUUAAACAUUGAUAAAAAUUAUAAGGAUUCGAUUUGACCACUUUCACCAAAGUGGAAGACGACGCGGAGGCAUCGGAAAAGAGCCCGAGCACACCAAUAGAACCGACCCUGAUGCACUCGAUGCGUGCCUUCUAUCAAACCCGGAAUUGAGCGAUUCAACUAAAAACAAUCUUUUUGGCCCGUCGUAAAUGCAACUGUGACAACUGCAUGGACCGCGGCAUCAGCGGAGCUCCUUCCAUCAUCUUCGUCGGCCGUGGCAUCGGAAAACCCAGACCAUCAUUUGCGUUAGCUAGUGGCAUUUGCGGUGUGAAAUGUCCAGCUGUGAACAUUGCUCAUGCAGCAACAUUGUUUAGUCCACGUGGCCUGGAACUACUCCUGUGUACAAUAAAACAAUUAAUAAAACUUAUUUUUUUCAAUCAUA